CGAGCGAAGCGGGAAAAGCUCAAAUUUGUAAUCUGGCGCCUUCGGCGUCCGAGUUGUAAUCUCGAGAAGUGUUUUCCGUGAUAGACUGCAUACAAGUCCCUUGGAACAGGGCGUCAUAGUGGUGAGAACCCAGUACACGAUGCAGAUGCCUAUUACUUUGUGAUACACUUUCGAAGAGUCGAGUUGUUUGGGAAUGCAGCUCAAAUUGGGUGGUAAAUUCCAUCUAAAGCUAAAUAUUGGCGAGAGACCGAUAGCGAACAAGUACCGUGAGGGAAAGAUGAAAAGCACUUUGGAAAGAGAGUUAACAGUACGUGAAAUUGUUGGAAGGGAAACACAUGCAGUGAUACUUGCUAUUCGGGGCAACUCGAUUGGCAGGCCCGCAUCAGUUUUUCGGGGCGGAAAAUCGUAGAGAGAAGGUAGCAGUUUCGGCUGUGUUAUAGCUCUUUGCUGGAUUCGCCCUGGGGGACUGAGGAACGCAGCGUGCUUUUUGCAUGAGCUUCGGCUUAUCCACGCUUAGG
rnacentral:rRNA from 1 species